UGGGGAAUUUUGGACACUGGGGGCAACCCUGAUCCAGCCAUUCCGCGUGCUGGAUUAAGGUCUUCGGAUUGUCAACUGCUUUUGUCAGGGAAGAAAAGGUCUGUGUUAAUACCAUAGACUGCUGACGGUACCUGAAGAAUAAGCACCGGCUAACUACGUGCCAGCAGCCGCGGUAAUACGUAGGGUGCAAGCGUUAAUCGGAAUUAUUGGGCGUCAAGGGCUUGUAGGCGGUUCGUCGCGUCUGGUGUGAAAGCCCAUCGCUUAACGGUGGGGUGGCGCCGGGUACGGGCGGGCUAGGGUGCAGUAGGGGAGACUGGAAUUCCCGGUGUAACGGUGGAAUGUGUAGAUAUCGGGAAGAACACCAAUGGCGAAGGCAGGUCUCUGGGCUGUUACUGACGCUGAGAAGCGAAAGCGUGGGGAGCGAACAGG
rnacentral:rRNA from 1 species